AGCGAACGCUGGCGGCAGGCCUAAAACAUGCAAGUCGAACGCCUGUAGCAAUACAGGAGUGGCAGACGGGUGAGUAACACGUGGGAACGUACCCUUUGGUUCGGAACAACACAGGGAAACUUGUGCUAAUACCGGAUAAGCCCUUACGGGGAAAGAUUUAUCGCCAGAGGAUCGGCCCGCGUCUGAUUAGCUUGUUGGUGAGGUAACGGCUCACCAAGGCUACGAUCAGUAGCUGGUCUGAGAGGACGAUCAGCCACACUGGGACUGAGACACGGCCCAGACUCCUACGGGAGGCAGCAGUGGGAAUCUUGCGCAAUGGGCGAAAGCCUGACGCAGCGACGCCGCGUGCGGGAAGAAGGCCUUAGGGUUGUAAACCGCUUUCAGGAGGGACGAAGCCACUCGGGGUUAAUAG
rnacentral:rRNA from 1 species